rnacentral:rRNA from 1 species
UACGUAGGGGGCAAGCGUUAUCCGGAUUUACUGGGUGUAAAGGGAGCGUAGACGGCGAUGCAAGCCAGAUGUGAAAGCCCGGGGCUCAACCCCGGGACUGCAUUUGGAACUGUGUGGCUGGAGUGUCGGAGAGGCAGGCGGAAUUCCUAGUGUAGCGGUGAAAUGCGUAGAGAUUAGGAAGAACACCAGUGGCGAAGGCGAUUCUCUGGACUGUAACUGACGCUGAGGCUCGAAAGCGUGGGGAGCAAACAGG